UACAGAGGGUGCAAGCGUUAAUCGGAAUUACUGGGCGUAAAGCGUGCGUAGGUGGUUUGCUAAGUCAGGUGUGAAAUCCCUGGGCUCAACCUGGGAACUGCAUUUGAUACUGGCGAACUAGAGUGUGGUAGAGGGUAGUGGAAUUCCCGGCGUAGCGGUGAAAUGCGUAGAUAUCGGGAGGAACACCAGUGGCGAAGGCGGCUACCUGGACCAACACUGACACUGAGGCACGAAAGCGUGGGGAGCAAACAGG
rnacentral:misc_RNA from 1 species